CGUUGUACGAUGUGGGGAGGGGGGGGGCAGAGAGAUGUCCCAGCCUCGCUCGGUUUCAACAGAGUAUUCCUCUGUCCUGGUGUAAGGUCCUGCCAGGGCCUUUGAAUCGGGGUUAUAUAUUUUAAUAUUUUGGACUAUGGGGAAGGACAGCGAGCUUCAGCUCUGAUGGCGUUCUUUUCGUGACAUGUGGCGAAGACGAUAAACUCAGAGGGAUCUUCAACAUAAAGACGGACAAAGCUGCCGCCUGCUGAGUCAGACUCUGAGUCCCUCUAGCUCAGUAUCGUCCACACACACUGACUGGCAGCCGCUCUCCAGAUUUCAGAGACGGGUCUUUCCCAGCUGGUGGAGACGCCGGGGACUGAACCUGGGCCUUUCAGCUUGCCAGACUGGUGCAGCUCCGCCACUGAGCACCGCCUUCCUUCUCCGAUUUCUUGGGCUCCACUGAACGGCACAAGGCACGAGGUCCUGCAGUUUUCUCCCUCUCGCCUUCUCCUUCCCUCCUGAGCCUACAUACUUCUUCAUAUGCCCAUAUGGAGUCGGCCGGCGUUAUGGAAUGUUAAGAAGUAUGUAUUGUUGGGACGGAAUCCCUGCCUGGAAUGGAAACGUCGGCCUUCCAUCUGUGCUUCAAGAAGAAGGAACUACUCCAGCUGAUGAGAUAAAAAGGGCCGCAGCUCUUCAAGGGAGACAAAGGAUGCUUUUUGUGCCCCUGGGGCUGGUCAAAAGGAACCAGAUCGACUGGCAACUGGAUUUGGUCCCCUUCAACCAGCUGUAGUAGCACAUGUAGCCGUCUGCAUAUCCGUCCGGCUUAACAAAGUCUCCAAUAAAUAUUACUUAAGUGCAGAAAAAUCCCAACCCAGGCCAGAUUAUUAUCUGCUGAAAUCCUGAAAGGCCCCAUAGCAUUAGCCCCCAAAAUUAUUCUAACAAGAAGGACAAUGAAAAUGGAAAUAACUAGUAGGUGAGGGCUGUCGUUGAUCAAGGGAAGUCAUUUUGCGGUUGUUUUUUUAAAAAAGUUUUUUACAGCUUUCUCUUAGCAUAUGCCAGUGUAAAAAGUAGUGCAUUCAGCUACUUUAAGCAGCAGGAUUGUCUAUGCAAAAUUUGGUGUCUGUAAGUAAUUGGGAAGUGUGGCUUUAUUUUGCACAAACAAACCCUUCAAAAUAUAGAAUAGAUACAAUUUUUAUAUACAGUAUGUAAGACUUUUUAAAAUUAAUGUGCUUGCAAAAGGGAAAUAAAAGAACAAUUUGAAAUUUGUAGGAUGUCAA